rnacentral:lncRNA from 1 species
CCUGGAUAUGGAAAACUUCUGCUGUGCCUUAAGUACAUCUCUGUGAGCCUGCCUCCUCACCCUGCACCUAGAGAGAUGAAAGAUUAUGAAACAGUGAGGGUUCCUCUCUCCAGAAGAAGAAAUCAGAACAAUCUCAUAUCAGAAAAUGGACCAGAAUCAGCAGAAAAACAGCCUGAUGGUUAACCAUGCUUUGUGGUCUGUGACUCAACUGAACUAUCUGAACUUAACUUUAAUGAUCUCAAAGGUCAACACAGCUUCUGACAACCACAGUCUGAGGUUCAGCAAUUGGCCAGCACCAAGCUUCUCUACAACCAGCCAAUCCAGAACUGACAAGUCAAUAAUGCGUUUGAGUCAACCAAUCUCUUUUCCUUGUGGAGUCUUCAGGCCUUGAAAGUCAUACACUUACUUUGGUGGAGGAGAUGGUAUUCUGGGAGACUAUUUUCCUGUGGAUAUACCCAUUUACAAGUGGCCUUCAGACACUUCUUCCACAAGGAAAUUGGGCAGCUUCCUGAAAUGAACAACCCGUAAAGCCAUGGGAAUUAUGGAUCAGCUCCCAGACCUUCCGCUUCAUGACUGCAAGCCUUUGUGAAAGUUUCUGACCUCUUUAUGCUUCAGGAAUCUUAGCAAUGAAACAAGGAUAAUGGCACUUGCUGUGACGAUCAUGAUGCACUUUUCUGAGAGUUUGUGCGGAUUGAGUGAAUCUGCUUCAUUUCAGCCCGAAGUUGCUGGAGGGUCCUUCGUCAGGAGACAGUAUAUAUAGACUUGCCAGAAGUGCAAUAAUUAUUCAGUCUCUUUCUCAGUAUUAAGCCAAUGUACAAAAUAAUUACACAUCUGCUUCUAUAGUAUGCAC